CAAUUAUCGUAUUGGAAAAUGCGCGGGGAAAAAAAAAACACCUCGUUCCCCCUGCCCCCCCCCUCCGACCUCUCCCACCCGCGCGUUUUAUUACGGAUUUCGUCGCGACAUUAUAGGCGUACCGCGUUAUCCGCCGUUCCGUGACGACGCGUUUUGCCGGGCAAAUUUUUUUAAAUUUUUUUUUUUUUUUUUCCUGAAAAUUGCACGAUAUAUUCUAAUUAUAUAUCGUUAUAUACAUACAUGUAUACACAUACGCGUACACAUAUAUUUGUAAUUCGCAAAACAAUUAAUUAUCGUGAUGUAAAAUCACGGCUGUGAUAAAAUACCGUAUCGUCCGAAACGAACGCGUAUCGAAAACGUACGAGAUGCGAUAUUCGUAUUGGCACACGCGUUGGUGUAACGUGGCGGGGGAAAAAAAAAAAAUAAAUAUUUUUAUCCGAAAUACGAUUAUGCCGUUGUUGUUCGUUACCGUUGCGUCGGCAUCGCGUAUCGCGCGUAUUAGACUAGUGGUUGCGAAUGGAUUUUUUUACUACCGUUGUCAUUGUUAUUGUCGCCAGCGCGUUUGUUGCGACAGUAGGCGUUUACGUUCAACCGGUCCGGGUCUCCGCGACUAUAUUAUUGUUGUUAUAAUUGUUUUUAUUUUUAUUACUUUUUUUUUUUUCCUUCUAAAACUAAACUAUAAUAUAUACAACAGACAUAUCACUCGAUAACUUGUAAGAGGGUACAACGAUAUAAUAAUUUACACACACACACACACACACACACAUAUGAAUGUAUGCGAAUUUAAUUUAAUAUUUUUUUUGUUUUUUUCUAGACGAAAUUGUAUGCAAAAUUUUACGUGUUAAUAUUUGUAUUCGCGUAGACCUAUUGUAAAAAUACUAAUUAUUGUGAUGUUUAUUGUGAUCGCGUGUGUCCGGUAACGCGGCAUUGCCGCACGUUGUUCGAUUUGAUUAUUAUUAUUAUUAUUAUUAUCAUUAUCAUUAUACUUUUUUAGUCCAUAAUAUAUCGUAUACAUAUCGCGUACAUAUCUAUAUAUGCGUAUUCGCUAAGGUACAAUGUGUCGAAUUUUUCAGCCUAUUUUCCGUGGCCAACGCGGUUUUUUUUUGUGUUUUGUUUUUUUUUUUUUUUUCAGAUACGAGUCCGUUAUAACGUGUACCCCCAUAUAACCCAUGUACCGCGAUUCCGUUUUUUUUCCCCGGUCGGAAAUCCCGAUGCCGUAAACCGACCGCCGCGAAAACGGGGAAAAAAACAAAAAAAAAAAAAAACAAGAAACAAACGAAAAACCGAAACGUUCUUCGCGUUCCCCCGCGGCUGUACGUAUUAUGUUUUAUCGUGUCUGGCGGGGAAAAACGAUUUUUCCGCGGCGAUUUUGUUUCGCGAAAAAAUAAAAAAAAAAAAAAACCCCCGAAACAUCCGACGGCCGUUGUUUUACUCGACCGCCCCCCCCCGACCAACCAACCCCCCCCCCCUUCCCAAUGCGUGUAACGGCUCGUAUAUAAGUUACAGAAAUCAUAUAUGUAUAUUUAUUUAUGUCAUAGUUCAAACGAUUAUCAUCAUAUUGUUACGGUUAAGUAUUUGUGUUUUAGAAUAUUAUUAAGCGGAUUAUAUAAAAAAAUAUAUAUAUUUAGGUAACGUAAUUGUAUUAUAAUUAUUAUGAUAAUAUAUUGUAC
rnacentral:lncRNA from 1 species